UGGGGAAUAUUGGACAAUGGGGGCAACCCUGAUCCAGCCACGCCGCGUGAGUGAUGAAGGCCUUCGGGUCGUAAAGCUCUGUGGGGAGGGACGAACGUCCGGCGUAACCCGUCGGGGUGACGGUACCUCCUUAGCAAGCACCGGCUAACUUCGUGCCAGCAGCCGCGGUAAUACGAAGGGUGCAAACGUUGCUCGGAAUCAUUGGGCGUAAAGCGCACGUAGGCGGCUUCGCAAGUCGGAUGUGAAAUACCUAGGCUCAACCAAGGACGUGCAUCCGAAACUGCGAGGCUUGAGUACAGAAGAGGAUCGCGGAAUUCCCGGUGUAGAGGUGAAAUUCGUAGAUAUCGGGAGGAACACCAGUGGCGAAGGCGGCGAUCUGGGCUGUUACUGACGCUGAGGUGCGAAAGCGUGGGGAGCAAACAGG
rnacentral:rRNA from 1 species